AGCAAGAGAUCAAACAAUUAUAUGCAAAUAAAGUCUGGGUGCAAGUAGUUUAAAACACCAUAGACAAAGUUUUGAAUUUUCCUGAUUACAGCCUCAGGAGAUUGGACUUUGCCUUCGAAUAUUCUGAGGUUUCUUGCUUCCCAUAGAAAGUAUGUGGAACUUGCUAGGGCCAAUUUUUUCAUCUUUGCCUGAAUGCCGGUGCCUCUAGCUUCCUUUAUCACCCAUUUUACAGCUGCUUAAAGGGUUGUGAGAAAUCUGUGAAGGCCCAACCAGCUUUUGAUUUUUGACCACACUUGCCUAACAAAGUGGCAUCUGAAAAAUAGGUGAUCAAUUGAUUCAUCUUCAGCCCUA
rnacentral:lncRNA from 1 species